rnacentral:tRNA from 1 species
GGGUCGUUAGCUCAAUUCGGACAGAGCACCUGACUCUUAAUCAGGGGGUUGCAGGUUCGAGUCCUGCACGACCCACCA